GCGAGUGNNGCGGCAACAGCUCAAAUUUGAAAUCUGGCUCUCUUUGGGGGUCCGAGUUGUAAUUUGCAGAGGAUGCUUUGGCAUUGGCGGCGGUCUAAGUUCCUUGGAACAGGACAUCACAGAGGGUGAGAAUCCCGUACGUGGUCGCCUGCCUUUGCCGUGUAAAGCUCCUUCGACGAGUCGAGUUGUUUGGGAAUGCAGCUCUAAAUGGGAGGUAAAUUUCUUCUAAAGCUAAAUACUGGCCAGAGACCGAUAGCGCACAAGUAGAGUGAUCGAAAGAUGAAAAGUACUUUGGAAAGAGAGUCAAAAAGCACGUGAAAUUGUUGAAAGGGAAGCGCUUGCAGCCAGACUUGCCCGCAGUUGCUCACCUAGGCUUUGGCCUGGGGCACUCUUCUGCGGGCAGGCCAGCAUCAGUUUGGGCGGUUGGAUAAAGGCCUCUGUCACGUAUCUCCCUUCGGGGUGACCUUAUAGGGGAGGCGCAAUGCAACCAGCCCGGACUGAGGUCCGCGCAUCUGCUAGGAUGCUGGCGUAAUGGCUGUAAGCGGCCCGUCUU
rnacentral:rRNA from 1 species